rnacentral:rRNA from 1 species
ACUCAAAUGAAUUGACGGGGACUCGCACAAGCGGUGGAUUAUGUGGCUCAAUUCGUCGACAAACGAAGAACCUUACCAAGGUUAGAAAUGCAGAUGCAUCCCUUAUGAAAAUUUGGGAGCCUUCGAGGGUUCUGCACAGGUGAUGCAUGGUCGUCGUCAGUUCGUGGUUUGAACUGUUCCCUUCAGUGGGGUAACGAACGCAACCCCCGUUGCCUGUUGCCUAUAUGGCCAGGCGAGACUGCUCCCUCACGGGAGAGGAAGGUGGGGAUGACGCCAGAUCAGCAUGUCCCUCUGAUACCUUGGGCUGCACACAUAAUACAAUGGUCGGUACAAAGGGAUGCAAGACCGCAAGGUGGAGCAAAUCCCUAAAACCGACCUCAGUACGGAUUGAGGUCUGCAACUGACCUCAUGAAGCUGGAAUCGCUAGUAAUCCUGGGUCAGCCAAACCAGGGUGAAUACGUUCUCGAGUCUUGUACACACCGCCCGU